rnacentral:rRNA from 1 species
AUUGAACGCUGGCGGCAGGCCUAACACAUGCAAGUCGAGCGGGGGUAGCAAUACCCUAGCGGCGAACGGGUGAGGAAUGCUUGGGAAUCUGCCUGGUAGUGGGGGAUAACGUUCCGAAAGGAACGCUAAUACCGCAUACGUCCUACGGGAGAAAGGGGGGAGUCUUCGGACCUCUCGCUAUCAGAUGAGCCCAAGCGGGAUUAGCUAGUUGGUGAGGUAAAGGCUCACCAAGGCGACGAUCCCUAGCUGGUCUGAGAGGAUGAUCAGCCACACUGGAACUGAGACACGGUCCAGACUCCUACGGGAGGCAGCAUGGGGGAAUAUUGGACGAAUGGCGAAGACCUGAUCAGCACUG